CAGAGUCACCUCCCAGGAUCGCCACCCCCCAUCCCGCCCCCGGGUCUACCCGACUCCGAGUCCGUGGGUGCGCGGCCUGCUCACGCCGUGGAUGCCAGGGAGGCGUCACCAGAACCGUGAGCCAAGCUGUGGGAGCCCACUCCGGCCCACGCCACGCCUUGUGCCCCGGCUUCGAGUGUCUGGAACAGACAGACCUCGGAGAACGCUGCCUGAGCCUCUGCGAUUCCAGCGCGUAUCGGAGCGCGCCGGCACAUUUUUAACUUGGACGACACUUGGGAACAGUCUCAGGAGAACCUUUACGCUCAACUACGGGAAUCCUGUUGGUCCCAGCGCCAGGCUUAUCGCUCCUCUCCUGGUGCCUGUCACCUGCUCAGCGCCGCGCUCCACGCUCAUCUAGCUUCUCGUUUCUUCUACAGAACAGCCCAAGAGACACAGCCGUUUGUGCUACCCAAAGAGGAUGUUCGCUCCCCUGAAGGCUGCCGAGGUCUUCAGCUGCGUCUUGCAGUUUCCCGUGGAAGGAUCAGGCAGACAGCGUCUGCUCUUCCCAGCUUUGAUCUCCCUUGAACGUCACCCCACGCGUUCCUGGCAUGCCACAGCUCAGAGAUCCUUGGAGGCCAGCAUCUAGGGUUGCCAAUCAGGAAGCUGAAGGCCGGACAGCUGCAGAACCUAGUUUCGUUACUGACCAUGUUGGGAGCACCUUCCCUGAGCUACCGCGAGCACCCUCCUCCAGUCGCAUCCACAGAGAGAAAACUGAAGAUUCUGGACAGCGUUUCAGGGGCAUCGGCAGACUGGCAGGGCGUGGUGGCUCCUGUCUAUAAUCCCAGCAGUAGACAGGCCAUUUAAGAGGGUGACCAAGAGGUUUGAGGCCAACCUGGAUUACAGUGUGAGUUCUAGGUUAGGCUAGGCUACAGUGAGAUUCUGUCUCAUGAAAAAAUAAGAUAUAAGACCUAUUAAUUCUAUCAGCUUGUAACUAGGCUUGUAUUUUUCCAAUUUCAAAAGCAAAACAGUCCCAAGAAGGAAAGGAGAUACUGCUGUUCCCGACACAUUGGGCAAACUUGAAGGACAUUGGACUGAGAGAGGCCAGACACAGAGCGAUAAAUGCUGUGGGUUCGCCCUGCAGGGGGACCCAAGGCAGCAGCAUUUGUAGAGCCUCCAGGGAGAACCGUG